rnacentral:rRNA from 1 species
UACGUAGGGUGCAAGCAUUAAUCGGAUUUAUUGGGCGUAAAGGGCGUGUAGGCGGAAAUAUAAGUCAGGUGUGAAAUCCCGGAGCUCAACUCCGGAACAGCAUUUGAAACUGCAUUUCUAGAGGGUAGGCGGAGAAAACGGAAUUCCACAAGUAGCGGUGAAAUGCGUAGAUAUGUGGAAGAACACCAGUGGCGAAGGCGGUUUUCUAGCUUAUACCUGACGCUGAGGCGCGAAAGCAAGGGGAGCAAACAGG